UUUUAUCAGAUUCUGACCUGAUCUCAACAUAGUCUGCCCUGCAGUUGCAUGAGAUGGAAUCUCAAAACUUCCACAGCAUCUGUGGCAGGUGGAAUAUUUCCCUCCUCCAAGAAGCCCUCUCCUAAUCCCUGGAACCUGUGAAUAGGUAGGUUAUAUGGCAAAGGGAAAUAAAGGCCGUGAAUAGAAUUAAGGUGGCUAAUCAGUGCCCCUUAAAUAGAGAUAACCCUGGAUUAUCCAGGUGGGUCCGAUGUAAUCACAAAGGUCUUUGACAGCAAAGAGAGAGAGGUGGCCAAGGAGACUCAGAGGACACCACACAAGAUGGAUUCACUGCCCGCUGCUGGCUUUGACCACUGAGGAAGGGACAUGAGUCAAGGGAUGUGGGAACCCUCUAGAAGCUGGAAAAGGCAAGAAACAGAUGCUCCCCCAGCUCCUGGGACAUAGCACGACCGUGCCAGCACCUUGGUUUUAGCUAAGUGAGACCCAGUCAGAAUCUUGAUCCACAGAACCAACACUGCCAAUGUGGGUUAAUCUAACCCAUGCAGUGGGCAAUGGCUCACUACAGAAACAGGAAAGUAUCACACGGUGGCCUGAGAGCCGCUUCCUGCAGCCUGAUCAUUCUCUGUUUGGAAGAUCUCUACAGAGAUCAAGGAGCCACGCUACACCAUGGUUUUUUUAAUUAUCAUUAUCCCUAGCACCUUGGUACCUUGAACCCCCCAUGUUCAUGUUCCACCCGCCCCUCAUUUUGCAGGUGGAGCAGCAAAAAUUAUGGCAUCCCUGAAUGCUAGGCAUUAUCCCAUCCUACUUACUACUCACAGUGGGGACCCUACUGCCGUCAGACACAUGGGAAAUGCAACUUCAAAAUUCCAUCCAAACCCACUUCUGCUUCAAUUACUAUACCCCGAGUCCCUUGGAAUCUCACGCCUCAAGGAGUGGUCUUCAGACCAUCGUAGGCAUCUCCAGAGAGCUAGUUAGCCACACAGGACUCUAAGUUCCACCCCAGGUAAACUGAGCCCCCAGUUGCACAUUUGAGCAGGAGUCCUGGGUGACUCAUAUACACAUUAAGACUCGAGACCCACACAGCAGCAAAACACAACCCAAGGGUUACAGUCUAAUUUGGGGGGAUGGGGGAAUAUGCAUCCAGGCAGCAGGAGGGAGGGAAAGAGAGUGAGGCAGAGGGCAAUGGGAAUAGUUCAAGCUGAUGCAUCUCUCUGCCGGCCUCUGCUUCAUGGCAAGCUGUAAAGAGACAGCUGGUGGCUCAGCACAUGUGCCGCUCAUCCAUCCUUCACAUCCCUGGACACGGUACACAGUGAAUGUUCCAUCUCCUAAUUCUCAUAGGUCAAAGUAGGAAUUAAGUGAUUCCCUGCACUUCCAAGCUGCAUCCUUCAGCCCCGUGGACAGCACCUGGGAAGCCCAUCGCCUGGCAUUUACUCAAAUUGGGAUCAGCUGAGACUCAGGGUAUGUAGCUGGGCAGCAGACCGGGUAGCAGAAUCUCAAGGGGGUAAUGGGGAGGGGUCCAGCCUUCCUGUCCCCUCUGGCCCAAGGGGGAGGGCUGGCACACCCAAGUGGUACAGGUUCAACCCCCUCCCCCAGAACACGUUGGAUCAUCCCAGCCUGGCAAGACCCCCUGAUUCAGACCUCAUCGGCCCCUUCCCCUUUUGUUCAUGCGUAUGUUGGGAGCAUUUGCCAAGGACUGGCAGGCAGACUAAGAGGAUCAUCCCAUUUUUUGUUUGGUUGAUGGUUGUUUCUGCAAGAUGAGGGAGAAUUCUCUCCUGCAGGACUAGUGUGGGGCUGGGAAACAGCCUGCAAAUUAAAGAUGGCCUAAGUACCCUUUCUCCUCACCUGAGAAACCCCUAGAAAUCCCUGAGGACAUAAGGGAGGGCCUAUCAUUCCAGAGGAAUCCCUGGUUCCUGGAGAAAGACAGAAAACUGUGGCCUUGGGAAUCCUGGGGAAAGGACUUGACCUUGCGAAGCCCAGUUUCCUCCUCUGUGAUAAGGGGCAAUGCCAGGUAGCCAUUAGGCAGCUGCAAGAAGAAAUAACAUGGGUCAGGGAAUGUUUCCAGGUUCUGCCCGAGUCUGCCCCACAGACUGAUCACACUGAGCUCGCUCUCGACAAAAGGCUCUUUCAAAAGAGGCAGAGGCCUCGCUCUAGUAGACAGAGCUGCUGGUGGUACCAUGGCCUGGUCUCCCUGCUCUUCUGCCCAUCUGAAGCAGGUGCCAAAAGCCACAGGUGCUCAUACAUAAAGUCCUUUUUAAUAGUGAUGGACAGAACCUACCCAUAUUCUCCCAGAUAUUCAGCCAUCUCUAGAUGGCUUAGAGACCCUAAUACAAUGUAAAUGCCAUGUAAACGGCAUUAUGUGUAGGGAGCUGAGGCGAGGAACACAGCUAUACAUGCUCAAUUUUGUUCUGAGUAUUCCUGAUCUGCGGGUAGUUGGAACUGUGGACACCAAGAGCUGACUGUGCCUGCUGGCUACUGAGGACAACUGUCAAAGUGCAUAUGGCUGGUGACAGCUGCAUGAGCAGUGACACAGACCUUGGCCCCAGACCUGACUGAGCUGGGUCCCAACCAAGGUGUUCACAAGGGAACAGAGAUGCCUGUGUCUCCAGCAUUGAGCUAACAGGAAGAACGUGUCCUGCUGAGGGUCCCAGCCUCAGUGUAGCUCGGCUUCCCACCUCCCACGGACACCCCCAGGGUCAGCCUCUCCAACACCCAGACACAAGGGCACUCCUCCCAUGUCUGCUGCUGUGUUAAAAGCUAGAGCUGCAGCAGCAGCCAGAACCAUCAAGAGUCUCAGGUUUGCAUCUCCAAUGAGGGCUCAGUGACCGCUGUUGACCCACCCACUAGAAAGGGACUCCAAGUUACCCAGGCUCGGCUGUUUGUAUUCCUUAAGAGGACAACAUUUAUUAAUGGAGAGAACUAAAACAUCUGGUGAACAGAAUGGCUGAUCAGUGCAAAGUGGAGCACAACCAAAAUGACGAUGAUGCCUACCUUCCCCACCACAAGAAAAUUAAUCCAGGCAGGCUACACCCUGGAUCCCGCCUACACCCUGAAUCACCCUGAGAUUUAGGCUGCAGAAUGGAAAGCCUCGUGCUUGGAACUAACGCAUCAAAGAUACAGACAUGUGCCAUUUACCAACCAGGACACGCCCUGAGAAACUCACCAUCAGAGCUUCCCACCAUUGUGUGGCCACCAGGAAGGAUAGCUGUACACACCUGAUGGCCACGUGAUCACUGGACAUGCCCUCUUGGUGCAAGAGGGAUGUGGGUUGAGGCCAGGCCCAGGAGGCUGCUGGGGUUUCGCUGUGUACUGCUUUGCAAUGAACUGUUUUUCUUUUCUAAGUAGAACACUCUUAUGUAAUGACAAAAGCAAAGCACAGUAAACGUAUCAGCCAGUAACAUAGUCACAUAUCGGCAUUUUCAAGUAUUAUGCAUGGUACCAGUGGUAGGCACUACACUUUCAUGUGACUGGCAGUGCAGUGGGUUUGUUUACAAACACAGGUGGCAUUCAUUGUGCUGUGUGACUACAGUUGUGUAAUAUCACAAGGUGAUCAGAAUUUUUCAGACCCAUUAUAAUCUCUCGGGACCACCAUCCUACAUAAGGUACAUCAUUCACAGAAACAUCCUCAUGUGGCACAUGACUACCUUCAAUAUGAAGCAAUCGUUAAUUUGUUCUCCCAGGUGCAGUGUCCCCAUGGUGAGGAACACACUCGCCACUGGACGGCCACAUUGUAGGCUGAGAAGUCAAACACGGUGGGGGACGAGACCAGAAGCAAGUUUCAGGGUGGGGUGAUGAGGGUCUGGGAAAGGAAGGGACCACCCCCAAAAAUAAACUCCCUAUACCUCAGGGUUCUUACCAGAAGUAAGCUCUAGAAGGAAGAGUGUGGGAUUGGGGGUAAAGGAAAUUGUCCCCUCUGCAGGGCUGGGCAGGGAAUUUAGAGGCUUCUCCUGUCCACUGGAGCCAGGAGAGAGUCUAGAAAAGGCAGGCAUUGACAUUCACUAAGCCCACAGAGUAGGUGCCAUUGUGGAAGGCUUCAAUAUGAUUAAUAAAAUAUUAAUGCAUUUUCUUAAAGUUUUAUAAUCAAAAACUCUUAUAAGAAUUAAUAACCCUAACUCUUAUAAUGAUAAGCCUAACUAACGAACCAUAUUGUUUUUCUUAGAUGCCCCACUUGAGGAUUUCUCUCACUGGAGUCAAUUAGAGUUGCAGAGUUAUUUCAUAGUUCCUUUUGAAAUUGGGUGAGGGGUUCAGGCUGUGCCCAGCACAGUGUAAGACCUAAAUAAACACUGAUUCUCAUGAUUUUAUUGAUAGCUAGUGAUACUGACCACUUGAUGAUGAUCCAUUUCUAGAACUUACAUGGAAUUUAAAUUGUCAAAAAGAAGAAUAAAAGCAGCAGGAGCAGAAAUGUGGACUGAACAGAAGGGGAAGGGAAAUUUAAAACCCCCAGAGGCUGCACGACAGCAUGGCAAGAGAGACAGCACCCCCAACGCCUGCCACCAGGCCCCACGGCCAGUGGAGGGGAAGUUUCUCCUCUGCAGGGUGAAGGGUGAGAGAGUCCCCGCAAACGCCAUCAGAGCAGAUGCUGCAAGCCUAGCCACAGUCCUUGCUUUACAGCCUAAAGGGAGAACAAACCUGAAAUCUGCACAGUAAUCCAAGUUUGGAAAAAAAAAGGACUCCUUUCAUCUCCCUGAGAACCCCCAGGCUGCAUCUUGGGAAGGGACAUGCUGUCUGAAUUUGGACUGCUCUAGGGAUCAGGAACCCCUGCCGUGUCCUGAUGGUCCUCUGUGCUGGCUCAGCAGGCGGCUGUCUCAGAAGCCAGACUUUGUCUUGGUGAAGUGACUCUGACAAACCCAAGGAGAGUGCUACAUGAUGAGGAGCUGCCUCUGAGAUUCAGAGUGCUGGGGGCUGUCCACAAGAACCAGGGCAUGGGGAGCCUGGCCUCUGAGAUGUGUGUGGCUUCACGGGUGCUCUGUCUAUGGGCAGCUGCCUGCAUGGUUCCCACCACUCCUCUCCCAGCCUCACACAUGGGCGCCUGACACUAACAAAGUGGCAAACACCCCAGAGGUGUGUUAGGACAGUUUUGAGCAAUGCCUCCAGGGUUCUGGUUGUUGCCCCUCCCCUGGGCACAUAGCCUAUGAAGGUCUGGAGAGAAACUUUGUGUGGUGACAGCUAUGUUCUGCUCCCCCUCACUUCUGGGAACACCUCAGCUAAGAGGAAUCUUAUGCAGCUACAGCUUUGACUCACCCACACUCAAUCCCUGGUGGGCACGACAGAGACAAGAAUUAAGGGGAGAAGAGCCCCUGGCAUCCCCAGGUAUGAACGCUGAGGAAAGUCUGAGGUCCCAGGGGCUGAGAGGAAUAACACAACUCUUGCUUCCACAGCACCUAUGUGGGUCCCCUGCAUGGGUCACCCUGGACCUUGCCUGACACCUACAAGACCCGGUGUGAAUGCCACAGGGGGGGUGCUGUGAUUCCUGCCCCAACCUCUCCCUGUGAAACUCCUGGACCCACACCAGUGUCUAGUCAGAGGACAAGUGCUUCAGGUCCCUUCUCACUUGUUAUGGUUUAGAGAUGAGGUAUCCCCCAAAGUUCAUAUGUUUGACAAUGAAAGAGUGUUCAGAGAUAAAAUGAUUAGGUUAUGAGAAUUGUAACCUAAUUAGUGGAUUAGUCCACUGAUAUGGAUUAACUGGGUGGUAACUGGAGGCAUAUUGGGUGUGACUGGAAGGAGUAAAUCACUGGGGACAUGCCUUUGGAGUUCAUGUUGCAAGUCUCUGGUGAGAGGGUCCCUGUCUCUGCUUCCCAGGUGCCAUGUCCUGAGGAG
rnacentral:lncRNA from 1 species